GCUGCGGUAGCCCAGUUUGUAGGGCGUUGUCAAUACAGAUGGCGAAAGUCGCAGGUUCAUAUCCUGCCUACAGCG